rnacentral:rRNA from 1 species
AACGAACGCUGGCGGCAGGCUUAACACAUGCAAGUCGAACGCCCCGCAAGGGGAGUGGCAGACGGGUGAGUAACGCGUGGGAAUCUACCUAGUUCUACGGAACAACAGUUGGAAACGACUGCUAAUACCGUAUACGCCCUAUGGGGGAAAGAUUUAUCGGAAUUAGAUGAGCCCGCGUAAGAUUAGCUAGUUGGUGAGGUAAUGGCUCACCAAGGCGACGAUCUUUAGCUGGUCUGAGAGGAUGAUCAGCCACACUGGGACUGAGACACGGCCCAGACUCCUACGGGAGGCAGCAGUGGGGAAUAUUGGACAAUGGGCGCAAGCCUGAUCCAGCCAUGCCGCGUGAGUGAUGAAGGCCUUAGGGUUGUAAAGCUCUUUCAGUAGGGAAGAUAAUGACGGUACCUACAGAAUAAGCCCCGGCUAACUUCGUGCCAGCAGCCGCCGUAAGAC